rnacentral:rRNA from 1 species
GAUGAACGCUGGCGGCGUGCCUAAUACAUGCAAGUCGAGCGAACGGACGAGAAGCUUGCUUCUCUGAUGUUAGCGGCGGACGGGUGAGUAACACGUGGAUAACCUACCUAUAAGACUGGGAUAACUUCGGGAAACCGGAGCUAAUACCGGAUGAUAUUUUGAACCGCAUGGUUCAAAAGUGAAAGACGGUCUUGCUGUCACUUAUAGAUGGAUCCGCGCUGCAUUAGCUAGUUGGUAAGGUAACGGCUUACCAAGGCAACGAUGCAUAGCCGACCUGAGAGGGUGAUCGGCCACACUGGAACUGAGACACGGUCCAGACUCCUACGGGAGGCAGCAGUAGGGAAUCUUCCGCAAUGGGCGAAAGCCUGACGGAGCAACGCCGCGUGAGUGAUGAAGGUCUUCGGAUCGUAAAACUCUGUUAUUAGGGAAGAACAUAUGUGUAAGUAACUGUGCACAUCUUGACGGUACCUAAUCAAAAAGCCACGGCUAACUACGUG